UACGUAGGGUGCAAGCGUUAAUCGGAAUUACUGGGCGUAAAGCGUGCGCAGGCGGUUUGCCAAGUCAGAUGUGAAAGCCCCGGGCUCAACCCGGGAACUGCGUUUGAAACUGGCAGGCUAGAGUUUGGCAGAGGGGGGUGGAAUUCCACGUGUAGCAGUGAAAUGCGUAGAGAUGUGGAGGAACACCGAUGGCGAAGGCAGCCCCCUGGGCCAAAACUGACGCUCAUGCACGAAAGCGUGGGGAGCAAACAGG
rnacentral:rRNA from 1 species